GAGUUUGAUCCUGGCUCAGAACGAACGCUGGCGGCAGGCUUAACACAUGCAAGUCGAACGCUCGUAGCAAUACGAGAGUGGCAGACGGGUGAGUAACGCGUGGGAACAUACCCUUUGGUUCGGAAUAACUGAGAGAAAUUUCAGCUAAUACCGGAUGUGCCCCCAAGUAGUGAUAUUUGGGGGGAAAGAUUUAUCGCCAAAGGAUUGGCCCGCGUCUGAUUAGCUAGUUGGUGAGGUAACGGCCCACCAAGGCGACGAUCAGUAGCUGGUCUGAGAGGAUGACCAGCCACACUGGGACUGAGACACGGCCCAGACUCCUACGGGAGGCAGCAGUGGGGAAUAUUGGACAAUGGGGGCAACCCUGAUCCAGCCAUGCCGCGUGAGUGAUGAAGGCCUUAGGGUUAUAAAGCUCUUUCGUCAGGGAAGAUAAUGACGGUACCUGAAGAAGAAGCCCCGGCUAACUUCGUGCCAGCAGCCGCGGUAAUACGAAGGGGGCUAGCGUUGUUCGGAAUUACUGGGCGUAAAGCGCACGUAGGCGGACAUUUAAGUCAGGGGUGAAAUCCCAGGCUCAACCCUGGAACUGCUUUGAUACUGGGUGUCUUGAGUACAGAGAGUGAGUGAAUUCCAGUGUA
rnacentral:rRNA from 1 species